AUGGAUCAGGAGCUGAUCGAGCACCUUGAGGCCAAAGUGAGUGCUGACAGCGCGAGAUCUCACCCUCUCAUCGAUUUGUUCAUACCAACCAUCGACAACGAGCACGGCAUAUGCUACACCCAUCCUGAGAAACUUCCAGGUAUCACACUGGGUGGCCUAAGCAAGCAUUUCUUCCAGCGCAAUUCCAGGGCAUUCAAAAGGGGCACGUGGACGCGUCGCAAGAUACAGUCGGAGUGCGGCAUGCACGCGAUGUGGCACAACACCGGCAAUACCUUGCUGAUGAUGGUCAACGGCCGGCAGACGGGCAGGAAAAAUAUUCUAGUGCUGCACACCAACAAGAACUUCGACCAGUAG
rnacentral:rRNA from 1 species